AUGCAAACGUCUUUUCAAGACAUCGGAAGAUUUGCUGACUGCGAUCUGGAAUUGGAACAGAAAUUAAAGAUUUUGAAUUUUAUGAAAAGAUUCGGUAAAGAAUCCCUGUGUCUGUCAUGCAGAAAUUACUUUAAGAUUACAAAGAAGUUUCCAAUAAAGAUGGGAAGUUCUCUACAUUCCAUAUUUUCUGGUCUUUUAAAUAUAAAGAAUGCUUCGAUACGUAAAACUUAAUAAUCGCACAGAAUAUUGUCGUUUUGAAAGACGACUCUAAAUGACAUUUAUUUGCUA